ensembl:lncRNA
AAUUCCGGCCCUUGCGGCUCUCCGAAGCUCCUCUGAGGCGAUGGGCUUGCUUUCUGGGUCCCAGAAGCUUGGUUAGGAGUUGGCACAGGCGCCCCGGCCUCGGCUGACCCCGGCCCCGGCUGACCCCGGCCCCGGCUGACCCCGGCCCCUGAGACGUGGGUGGAUUGCUGGCAGGGAUCCGACGUGCAGUCUCUGCCCACCUUCGUUGUUCCCAGAAUCUGAGCUCUCAAAGGUAAUCUGUCACCAAAUUUGCGAUCUUGAGGUGUAUUGAUGCCCUCUUUAGCCUAACUGUUCUUCCUGGUACUUCAGGAAGGGUUUGCCAGGAUCCUUCUGCCACAUAUGAAAGAUUAAAAAAAAAAUUGGAUUUGAGGUGAUGUGUCUUGCCCAGGGUAACAUGAUUUAAUAUAAUUUUUUAGCUAGUAUCAUUCAUUUUGCCACAAUUUAGUCAAAACAGUAGGUUUUUAUUUCACUUUUGAGAUUGUUUUUGCAAAACGGAGGUCAAUGUGGCACAAACAUUGCUUAGAAAUACCUUACCUUAAACAUUUAUCUUUUUUAUCCCUAUUACUUUCUGUUGAUUAUGUGACCUCAAAGUGUUACUAACACACAUGUUUUCCACUUAAUGGUUUUUAAUCUCUUGUUGAAAAUCAAAUUCUCCAACAAAAUAAUGAGCAUAUUUUCAUUACUUAAAAUGGGAAAAUUAGAUUGCAUGGAAGUUUUCUUGCCUUUGUCCAGAUUAAGGAUGUUCAUCCAAGGCUGAGGUGGGAGGAUCGCUGUGAGUUUGAGGCCAGCCUGGGAUACAUAGUGAGUUCAAGGCCAGCCUGAACUAUAUAGGGAGAUCCUGAAGGAAAAAAAGGACGUUCAUCCAGUAAAGUCUAUGCAUAUAUUUUGAAUUUGAAAUCCAAAAUAUUCUGAAAUACUUUUGGCUGCAAACAUUUUAGAUAAUGGAUACUCAGCCUGUAACAGACUGAAUUUUUCAAGAGUUUUUAACUGACUGUAUGUUUUUUAAAGUAAACCUGUUAGUUAUGGUGGCACAUGUUUAUAAUCUCGGCACUUGGGAGGCUAACACAGGAGGAUCACCACUAGUUUGAGGCCAGACUGGGCAACUUAGUGAGUUCAAGGCCAGCUUGAACUACAUAGCAAGAUCUUAUGUUGAAAGAAGAAAAAAAAAAACCCCAAACUAGACAUUUUAUGAUGCAGAAAAACUUAAGGCACAAUUUAUUGAUGUCCAUACAUUUGCUUUUUAGUGAUUUAUGUGGCCUCUACUAGCAACCUAACUGAAGUCCACAAAAUUUUGUGAUUUUCAGUACUUGUAUAUGUGGCCAUGCAGUUCAUUUAAUUGCAUUUUAAGACUUUCUUUUCUACAUAGUUUUGUUAAAAAAAAAAAAGAGCAACAAGUGUUAACAAACCAGCCAACACAUAACAGGCAAAAGUACUCAGCCAUGUUAUUUGUUUGAAGUUCUGUGGAUUCACAUUUGAUGGUGGCUUCAGCUGGGCAUUCUUACUAGCAUUGCUUGGAUCACAGACAAGGCUUUAGUCAUCUGGUGCCAUGGCUGAGGCUGGUUGUUUUAAGAUAGCUUCACUCACCUGGCCAGCAAUUUAUGCUAGCUCUUUGCUAGGCCCUGUGUCUCUAAUAGGACAGCUCCAAGCUUCUUCACAACAUGACUAUACAAGAAAGCUAGCACUAGUGGGCAAGUGCUUCUCAAAUCUGUGCCAGCAUUGUAUACAUUGUUCUUUUGGUCAAGACAAGUCAAAUGACAGAGUCCAAGUCAUUGUCCAAGGGUACUUUAUGAGUUUGGAUACAGGGAGAUACAUUGGGAACCAUUACUGGAAUGGCAUACCACAAGAAAUAUAUAUUAUGUACAUUUUUUGUAGCUAAGUCAAUUAGAUAUCUUAUAGGCAGUUAGGGCCAACCCUUGAGGAGUCAAUUAGAAAGACAACCGAGAUAUAUUCACUAAAGUUCAGCAUUGUAAAAAAGAAAUAGUACUACACUUGUAUACUUCCCCAAGAGAUAAUAACAGUGAUUGAUAUUCUAAGUAGGUAUUGAUCACCUUGAUCAGGGACCGAAACCCCCAUAGCCCACUCCUUCCAGGGAAAUCCUUGUUUGUUCCAUGUACACUUGCUAUGUGACUAGCUUCCCCAUUUGACCCUCAUUUAAUCAGUAUUACCUAAGUGACUGACUAUGCUUGUAAUCUUAUUAGUUGAUCAUAGUUUUGUCCCACCUUGUGAUUCCCAUUGGAUCAAUAUUAUCUAAGCAACAAUAUUGUAAUCUUACUAGUUGACUGUAGUUCUGUCCCACCUUGUGUCUUUGUUCAAUAAAACACCUUUGAAAAGCAGGGUGGGUGGGCAACCCACUUUUGGUUCUCUCUUCUGUCUCUCUUAGAAUCUAUCUUUCUCACAAUAAAUUUUUCCCACUCUUAACCUCCGUUGUUCCUAGAAUUCAUUCUUUGAUUUUAGAGAACAUGAACUCAUGUUUUGGAUAUCUAGAGGGUUGGGAGUUAUAAUAUUUCUCUUGUUUGGAUUAUUUUGCUUACUUGUAUUACUUGGUGCCUUAUAUCAUUUGGAGGUCUUCUGCCGACAUCAUUGGAUGGAGGUAAGAGUUUGCUUUUGUUCCAUAGGUUCUAGCUUUCUCGAUUUUUGCUUCAUAGAUUCUUUUUGUUUCAUAAAUUCUGGUUUUAGUCUUUUUAGAUUCUUUUUUGUUUCAUAAAUUCUGGUCUUUGUUUCAUAGAUUCUGGUUUUUGUUUCAAAAUUGUCUUAAAUUUUAGGUUGUAUGAAAUUUUUGCAAAUCACUUGUUUCUCUUAUGAUGGACUGUCCUUUGUUAAAAUUACAUUUUUUUCCUAUUUUGUAUAUGUUGCAUUUGGACUUAGUUGCUAAAGUUACAUUCCUUGUUUUAUUAGACAGCAGCACUAGAGAAAAAGGUAGUGUUGGCGCACCACCUAGUGGACUUUAAAAUUUAAAAAUUUAAUUUAAAAAAUGCUAUAAAAUGAGUCUCUUAUGAAAUCAUCUUAGGUAAAGACAGUUCAAGCUUUUAUCUGUCCCUUAUAGAUGCUAAAUAAAUAGUGGUAUUCUGACAGCUAGUAACUGCCCUUAGGGAAGCUGCCACUCUCAAAGUAGAGGAUAGGUUUCUCCAGUUGCCCACUGGUGAAUCCUCAUUUUCGUUGAAGCCAAUGGCAGACAGAAUGUUGACCAGAUAGGCAACUGGAUUCCUAUCUGGAGACAGAUCUCUGAUUGCAUGAACUAGUGAAAACUGAGGUGACAACUGAGGGGUCAUGGCCAGGGCUACUCUCUGGCAAAUACCCAAAAGUUCCUCAGUAAAAGUUAGGUCCUGACAGCCUGACUGGGUAAUCAGCAGAAAAUCUCCAACAUAUCUGUUGACUACCUGAACUCCUCAGUGAGGUGAAAGAUAACUUUCUGUGAUCAUCAGGUGUCCUCUGUCUCAGAGUGAUCUGAAACGAUGCCAUCAGAUCCCUCUCUUAAGCCUCCAUUAAGAAUUGAGCUACAGGUUUGGACUGUUCCCUCUCUGCUAGUAAGACAGACCCCUAGACAGAAACAGAAAACAAAUCUUUGCUAGGUUACAAACGGCCCCAACCUUUUCUCUCUCCCCUUCUGGGUCUAAUUUUCAUCAUUUAUGUUUGUAGGGGAGGAAAAUACUUUUACUAAUAAGUUGUGGACUUUAAAACUUUGAUUGUAGGCUUGUAAAAUGCUGUGUGGUGAUUUUUUAGGUGCUUAAACUUUUAUUUGGACUUUCUCUGCUAGUGAGUUAGAAACUCCCCUUAAAUGUUUCUCACACUUGUUGGGAAUUAACUUUAGAAUCCCUUGUAGUUGGACUGCCUCUCCUUCCAGGAAGUCAGGCUAAGGCAACUUGCAACAACUGUUUUAUCUUACUUGAAGGAAAAUAGCAAUCAACUGGUGACUUGUGCUUGUGUUUUAUAUGCCAGCUAGAAUAAGAAGGAGCUUUUAGUCUUCCUCUUUUCAUGUGUGCGAAGAGAACUGAGAGAUGUGCCUUUGCGAAUAUGUGACUUGUGGUUGCUAGGCAAUGAACAUAAGUUUAACCUGUGAAUUUCAGAUACUUAGUGAUUUAAAGAUAGUUGUUGUUUUUUUUUUUUUUUUUACUGGGGAUCGAACUCGGGUCCUUGCCCUUGAGCAGCAGGUGGCGAAACCACUAAGCUAAAUUCCUGGCCCUUAAAAAUGGAUGUUAAAUGAUGUGUAGCCUUGUCUUGCUGUAAUGAAGGUUGCCUAGGUGACUAGAAAGACAACAGGAACAUCUCAGAGCUUCUCUGCCCUAGGGCCCAGGGCAGAAUCUCUGGAGCCAGGCACUUGACUCUACCUGUCUCAAGAGGUGAUCUCUUUUGCAGGCAAAAAAGUGCUCUAAUUUGACCAUUGACCUAUUUUCCUCAGUCUCUUUCAAAAAGCUACAAAAUAGUGCUUUAGAUCUCUUGGUUAUUGGUUUUGCUAGCAAUGUUUCCUUCUCUAAACAUGAUAGUUACAGCUAAAAUAAAUUGUAAUUGUGCUUUAGGAGUGCCUGUGGGGAUAGGAACAGGAGUUUCUGGGGUAGAUAAGAGAGAGCACUGGUAAAAGGGUGCACAGUUCAGUCCGAUUUUAUUUUGUGUCUCUCUCCAG